UUUGAUCAUGGCUCAAGACGAACGCUGGCGGCAUGCCUAAUACAUGCAAGUCGAGCGGACUUUUAAAAGCUUGCUUUUGAAAGUUAGCGGCGGACGGGUGAGUAACACGUGGGCAACCUGCCUGUAAGACUGGGAUAACUUCGGGAAACCGGAGCUAAUACCGGAUAAUUCUUUUCCUCUCAUGAGGGAAAGCUGAAAGAUGGCAUUACGCUAUCACUUACAGAUGGGCCCGCGGCGCAUUAGCUAGUUGGUGAGGUAACGGCUCACCAAGGCGACGAUGCGUAGCCGACCUGAGAGGGUGAUCGGCCACACUGGGACUGAGACACGGCCCAGACUCCUACGGGAGGCAGCAGUAGGGAAUCUUCCGCAAUGGACGAAAGUCUGACGGAGCAACGCCACGUGAGUGAUGAAGGUUUUCGGAUCGUAAAACUCUGUUGUUAGGGAAGAACAAGUACCGUUCGAAUAGGGCGGUACCUUGACGGUACCUAACCAGAAAGCCACGGCUAACUACGUGCCAGCAGCCGCGGUAAUACUUAGGUG
rnacentral:rRNA from 1 species